rnacentral:rRNA from 1 species
GAUGAACGCUGGCGGCGUGCCUAAUACAUGCAAGUCGAGCGAACAGACGAGGAGCUUGCUCCUCUGACUUUAUCGGCGGACGGGUGAUUAACACGUGGUUAACCUACCUAUAAGACUGGGAUAACUUCGGGAAACCGUAUCUAAUACCGGAUAAUUUAUUGCACCUCAUUGUUCAAUAGUUAAAGUCGGUUUUUCUUUCACUUAUAGAUUGAUCCGCGCCGCAUUAGCUAGUUGGUAAGGUAGCUGCUUACCAAGGCAACGAUUCGUAGCCGACCUGAAAGGGUGAACGGCUACACUGGAAGAGAGACACGGCACAGACACCGAGACGAAGAAGCAGUAGGGAAUCUUACGGAAGGGGGGAAAGGGGGACGGAGCAAAGUGGCGGGAGUGAUGAAGGUGUUAGGACGGGAAAACGAUGAAAGCAGGGAAGAAGAAAUGUGUAAGUACCCAGGAACGUAAUGACGGUACCGAAUCAGAAAGCUACGGCUAACUCCGUG